GUAUAAACAAAGGCUUUUCCGAGGAGAAAAGGAUCGAUGGGUUCCGGUACGGCACCCGCGUAUGGUUUAGAAAGGGGCGCUUUGAACGGUUUCGUCGCUGGAUUAUAUAACUUAUACAUCCUUCUGUAUUAUAUAACAUUGAAAUUAUAUUAUAAUUGCGCUCCUAGCAAUUGCCAAGUGUUGCAAAGAACGACUCUCAUGUGCCUCCAGGCGACAGCUUGUGCUAAUGCUUGAUCCAAUUUGGGAAAGCCUGAUCAGGUCAGUUUGGCGCAGGUUCCGGGGGCGGUCGAAGGUGUCCAAGGUCUUGACGAAGGAGGCGUUGCCGUCCAAGCGGUCCAGGGCGGCCCUCAGGAAGUCCACGCCGGAGUUGAGGACGUU